AAAAAGGCGAGUGUUCAUUCUUAAACAAAUUCCACAAGAUCAAACAAAUGGAGAUUCCCCCUACCACAGUCCCGAAAACACAACCAUCCUCCAAUGAAUAAACUUGGGCUUCAUUACACUCCGAGACAGCAGAAGGAAUCUGUGGGAGGCAAAAAGUACAUGCUGAAGCAUACUAAGUUUUAAUUUGGUUUCCUCAUAUUUCGCCCAGCCCUAAUCACUUCAUCCACCAAUAAUAACUGGG
rnacentral:misc_RNA from 1 species